CCACUGGCCAGGCAUCACUUCUCCAUUGAUGCCAGAAAUGUUGAUCCCAGCAUAAAGACAUGCCUUGUAAUGAGAAUUAACAAUGUCACGGCCAAAGGCCUUAUCAGCACCAACACCACAGUAGUAAGGGCCCUGAGGUCCAGGAUAACCACCAGCAGGCCACCCAAUUGGCCAUCUCACUUGUUUCUGCAAUAAGGUGUACUCCUGUUCUAUCCCAUACCAAGGUUCCUCAGCAACAACAUCUGGAUGGCUGAAAAUUUUUGCAGCACUAUGUCUCUUGUUUGUUGGAAUUGGUUCUCCAGCUGGUGUAUAAGCAUCACACAUCACCAGAAUGUUGUUGCCCCUCCUAAAUGGGUCCCUGAAUAUUGCCUGGGGGUGUAAGAUGACUUCACUGUCAUCUCCAGAGGCUUGGCCUGUGCUUGAACCGUCAUAAUUCCAUUUUGGAAGCUUUUGAGGAUCAGUAAUUGCUCCAUUAAGAGUCCUAGCCUUGCUGCGAACAUCCAUACCAGAUCCACCGAUCCAUAUAUAUUCUGCAAUAAUCUUCUCAGUUGUAUCAGAGAGAUUCAAGUUGACAAGAUCUGAUAGUAGAGACAUCUUCCCAACAGGAUCAAUAGUAAUAAAGCAGCAACCUUUGUUGCUUCUGUAAUGUUCUUGAGAGAGAGAGAGUGAGAAAUAGAAGCGAAG
rnacentral:misc_RNA from 1 species